GAUGAACGCUGGCGGCGUGCCUAAUACAUGCAAGUCGAGCGAACAGACGAGGAGCUUUCUCCUCUGACGUUAGCGGCGGACGGGUGAGUAACACGUGGAUAACCUACCUAUAAGACUGGGAUAACUUCGGGAAACCGGAGCUAAUACCGGAUAAUAUAUUGAACCGCAUGGUUCAAUAGUUAAAGACGGUUUUGCUGUCACUUAUAGAUGGAUCCGCGCCGCAUUAGCUAGUUGGUAAGGUAACGGCUUACCAAGGCAACGAUGCGUAGCCGACCUGAGAGGGUGAUCGGCCACACUGGAACUGAGACACGGUCCAGACUCCUACGGGAGGCAGCAGUAGGGAAUCUUCCGCAAUGGGCGAAAGCUUGACGGAGCAACGCCGCGUGAGUGAUGAAGGUCUUCGGAUCGUAAAACUCUGUUAUUAGGGAAGAACAAAUGUGUAAGUAACUAUGCACGUCUUGACGGUACCUAAUCAGAAAGCCACGGCUAACUACGUG
rnacentral:rRNA from 1 species